rnacentral:rRNA from 1 species
UACGUAGGGCGCAAGCGUUGUCCGGAAUUAUUGGGCGUAAAGAGCUCGUAGGUGGCUUGUCACGUCGGGUGUGAAAGCUUGGGGCUUAACUCCAGGUCUGCAUUCGAUACGGGCUGGCUGGAGGUAGGUAGGGGAGAACGGAAUUCCUGGUGUAGCGGUGAAAUGCGCAGAUAUCAGGAGGAACACCGGUGGCGAAGGCGGUCCUCUGGGCCUUACCUGACGCUGAGGAGCGAAAGCGUGGGGAGCGAACAGG